GCUGGGCGCAGUGGUGUAUACCUGUAAUCCCAACAGCCCUGGAGGCUGAGGCAGGAGGGUUGCAAGUUUGAAGCUAGCCUUAGUGAUAGCAAGGCACUAAGUGAGACCCUGUCUCUA
rnacentral:sRNA from 1 species